CAGCAGCCGCGGUAAUGCGAAGGGUGCAAGCGUUAAUCGGAAUUACUGGGCGUAAAGCGUGCGUAGGCGGUUUGUUAAGUCUGUUGUGAAAUCCCCGGGCUCAACCUGGGAAUGGCAAUGGAUACUGGCAAGCUAGAGUGUGUCAGAGGAUGGUGGAAUUCCCGGUGUAGCGGUGAAGUGCGUAGAGAUCGGAAGGAACAUCUGUGGCGAAGGCGACUAUCUGGGCCAACACUGACACUGAGACACGAAAGCGUGGGGAGCAAACAGGAUUAGAUACCCCAGUAGUCCCUGUCUCUUAUAC
rnacentral:rRNA from 1 species